UAGGGAAUCUUCGGCAAUGGACGAAAGUCUGACCGAGCAACGCCGCGUGAGUGAAGAAGGUUUUUCGGAUCGUAAAACUCUGUUGGUAGAGAAGAACGUUGGUGAGAGUGGAAAGCUCAUCAAGUGACGGUAACUACCCAGAAAGGGACGGCUAACUACGUGCCAA
rnacentral:rRNA from 1 species